rnacentral:rRNA from 1 species
CCUACGGGAGGCAGCAGUGGGGAAUUGUUCGCAAUGGGCGCAAGCCUGACGACGCAACGCCGCGUGGAGGACGAAGAUCUUCGGAUCGUAAACUCCUGUCGAGCGGGACGAACGGCCCCCGACCUAACACGUCGGGGGAGUGACGGUACCGCGCGAGGAAGCCCCGGCUAACUCCGUGCCAGCAGCCGCGGUAAUACGGGGGGGGCUAGCGUUGUUCGGAAUUACUGGGCGUAAAGGGCUCGUAGGCGGCCUUGUUAGUCGGACGUGAAAUCCCUCGGCUUAACCGGGGAACUGCGUCCGAUACUGCGAGGCUUGAAUCCGGGAGAGGGAUGCGGAAUUCCAGGUGUAGCGGUGAAAUGCGUAGAUAUCUGGAGGAACACCGGUGGCGAAGGCGGCAUCCUGGACCGGUAUUGACGCUGAGGAGCGAAAGCCAGGGGAGCAAACGGGAUUAGAUACCCUAGUAGUC